CCAUAGAAGUGGCUCUCAUGGAAGCAUACCCUUGGAAACAGGGAUGUUUUUGAAUGGUUCCCAGCUUGGUCACAGGCAUCAGAGUUCCAGCCAUGUUCCUGGGAAGGAUAGAAGGUGAAAAUGUUUAUUUAAGGAUUUCAUGGAGAGUACAAUCGUGUUGGAUGAUGAAAGAAAGUUAAUGCAAGAUGUCCACAUUAAAAUUUCACUAGGAUUAUGUAACCACCCAGUUAAAUGGUAAUCAUUAUGUUCGAGGCAGAGCUAAUGCAAAAGAAAUUGAAGCCUGGAUUUAGGGCCUAUUGAUGAGGACAGAAUAAAA